GGAAGGGGCCAGCUCCAGCCAGACGUGACACCAUGACUGACUCAGGGUCACGCUUGCUGCCUGGUGGCAGGGGAGGCCAGCACCCCCAAAUCAAUCGGUUCCCAGGGCUGCCAGACAUACUUCAGAUUGCAACGCAGUGGACACAGAUUCUAGAGGAAUGUGGAAUGUGACAAAGGAGGCUCCCGAUCUAUUGUCACUCCAGGAUGGCAGAACCUGUGAUGGUUCAGGACACCAACUUAGGAGUCCAGUGGCCUGAACGGAUUUCCUAGCUCCGCCUCUCUUCAGCUGUGUAAUCUUGGGCAACUGCAAAAUGAGGACCACAUAAUGUCCAAAGUCCUUCUGGCCCGAAGCAUUGUACGAUGUGCUGUCUUUCAACAAGGACUUGUAAAGCUGUAGCACUCACUCCCCGAGACCUACUCCAAGCUGCCAAGAAAGAUCCAAGGAUGCCAGAUGCUAGCAAGCGCUCUGACUGUCAACCAAGCACAGGCUCUUCAUCGAUGCCCUGGAUCACUGGGGCCAGAGAUGUCCAGUUCCACCCACAAGCCUCAGGUCAGCAGCUCCUCUGGGCCAUGGGCUGCCCACCAGGACAUCAUGGAAACCCAAGAAACGAGGACCAUCGUAUCAGCCACCCAGAGCACAGAUCUGGAGGGGAUAAUUCCAUAAAGGUCAUUUGGCGAAGAAACAUCAAAAUUAGACUAAACUCAAAGUUGACUGUAAAGAGUAAUCAUUUAUCUUGACAUUUAUGAAGAUGCAAAAAGAAAAGUCUACAUAAGAUCAUAAAGGAAUGAAAAUAGUUCAAAACCAAAUCUAAUGCCGGCAGAAAACUGAACACAUUGUAGCCCUUCAAUAUAAUUUUUUAAAUGAUUGAUGACUGAGCUUUAUUGAGAUUUGGUCAAUUUUUAGGAAAGUGGAAACACCUCAGUCUUUUUCUUUCACGUCUGCUUCACGGUCCCUGUGGGACAAACACAUAACUUGCUUCUUUCAGGAUGAAAAGUGUGGUGGGGGUUUCUCAUGCGGAUGAUAAAAUAUGACAAGAAAAACAUUACUGGUGUUUAUCCUAUUUUCUUUUAGAAAGAAAAAAUCUGACGUAUCUUUCAUUUUCUUUAGAACGUAAACACGGAAAGUGGAAAGUGGC